rnacentral:lncRNA from 1 species
AUGCAUAGGCCCUUAGUUGAUUUGUUUAUGUGCUUUACUCCUUGUCAUUUCCAGGACCCCACUGGUGACUCUAGGCUUCCCAAGGUGAUAGCAGAGCAGGAAGUGGAAACAGCUGAAGACCCAGGUGGCAAGCCUUCAGGCUGAAAAGGCAGACCUGCUGGUCAUCGUGUCUGAAUUACAGCUCAAGCUGACUGCCAGCGGCUCCUCAGAAGACUCCUUUGUUGAAAUCAAGAUGGCUGAAGGAGAAGCAGAUGGAACAUUAAAAGAAAUCAAGAAUAGUCUUGAGCCUACAAGAACAGUCUCCAUUGACAUAAUUUCAGAGUUUGAAAAUAAAGCAAAUGAUCAUUCUGAAGUUGAGACUCAGACAGAGGACAGCGAAGAAAAAGAGAAUGAAGAGGAGAAAGACACAGAGACUGUUGGAAGCGAAGUAGAAAUGUUGAACCUUCAGGCGAUAUCGCUGUUUAAGGAGCUUCAAGAGGCUCAUACAAAAUUGAGUGAAGCCGAGCUGAUGAAGAAGAGACUUCA